rnacentral:rRNA from 1 species
AUUGAACGCUGGCGGCAGGCUUAACACAUGCAAGUCGAGCGAGCGGCGGACGGGUGAGUAAUGUCUGGGAAACUGCCUGAUGGAGGGGGAUAACUACUGGAAACGGUAGCUAAUACCGCAUACCAUCAGAUGUGCCCAGAUGGGAUUAGCUAGUAGGUGGGGUAAUGGCUCACCUAGGCGACGAUCCCUAGCUGGUCUGAGAGGAUGACCAGCCACACGGGAACUGAGACAUGGCCCAGGCUCCUACGGGAGGCAGCAGGGGGGAAUAUUGCAAAAUGGGCGCAAGCCUGAUGCAGCAAUGCGGCGUGUAUGAAGAAGGCCUUAGGGUUGUAAAGGACUGUCAGCGGGGAGGCGUGACCCGCAGAAGAAGCACAGGCUAACUCCGUGGCAGCAGCCGCGGUAAUAC